rnacentral:rRNA from 1 species
UACGUAGGCAGCGAGCGUUGUUCGGAAUUACUGGGCGUAAAGAGUGUGUAGGCGGUGCUCUAAGUUCGGUGUGAAAUCUCCUGGCUCAACUGGGAGGGUGCGCCGGAAACUGGAGUGCUUGAGCGUGGGAGAGGAAAGCGGAAUUCCACGUGUAGCGGUGAAAUGCGUAGAGAUGUGGAGGAACACCAGUGGCGAAGGCGGCUUUCUGGUCUGUAACUGACGCUGAGGCGCGAAAGCGUGGGGAGCAAACAGG